rnacentral:rRNA from 1 species
UACAGAGGGUGCAAGCGUUGUUCGGAAUUACUGGGCGUAAAGCGUGCGUAGUCAGUAUUGAGAGUCGCGGGUGAAAUCCCAGGGCUUAACCCUGGAACUGCCUGCGAGACCUCAGUACUAGAGUGUGAGAGGGGAUAGUGGAAUACCCAGUGUAGCGGUGAAAUGCGUAGAGAUUGGGUGGAACACCGGUGGCGAAGGCGGCUCUCUGGGACGGUACUGACACUGAGACGCGAAAGCGUGGGGAGCGAACAGG